rnacentral:rRNA from 1 species
UACGGGAGGUGCAAGCGUUGUUCGGAGUGACUGGGCGUAAAGCGCACGUAGGUGGGCUUGUAAGUCGGAUGUGAAAUCCCCGGGCUUAACCUGGGAACUGCAUCCGAAACUAUAAGUCUUGAAUGCUUCAGAGGUUGGUAGAAUUCCUGGUGUAGGAGUGAAGUCCGUAGAUAUCAGGAGGAAUACCGGAGGCGAAGGCGGCCAACUGGGAGUGCAUUGACACUGAGGUGCGAAAGCGUGGGGAGCAAACAGG